rnacentral:rRNA from 1 species
CAAUAGCGUAUAUUAAAGUUGUUGCAGUUAAAAAGCUCGUAGUUGGAUUUGUGGCGUACGGUGUGUUCCGGGCACUUGUUGUCUGAGUAACCUGCUGUUGCCAUCCUUGGGUGGAACCUGUGUGGCAUUAGGUUGUCGUGCAGGGGAUGCCCAUCAUUUACUGUGAAAAAAUUAGAGUGUUCAAAGCAGGCUUAUGCCGUUGAAUAUAUUAGCAUGUAAUAAUGAGAUAGGACUUUUUUGCUAUUUUGUUGGUUUGCGCAAAGAGGUAAUGAUUAAUAGGGACAGUUGGGGGUAUUCGUAUUCCAUUGUCAGAGGUGAAAUUCUUGGAUUUUUGGAAGACGAACUACUGCGAAAGCAUUUACCAAGGAUGUUUUCAUUAA